rnacentral:rRNA from 1 species
UACGUAGGGGGCAAGCGUUGUCCGGAUUUAUUGGGCGUAAAGAGCUCGUAGGCGGUUCGGUAAGUCGAAUGUGAAAUCUCCACGCUCAACGUGGAGGGGUCAUUCGAAACUGCCGUGACUUGAGUACGGUAGGGGAGUGUGGAAUUCCUGGUGUAGCGGUGAAAUGCGCAGAUAUCAGGAGGAACACCGAUGGCGAAGGCAGGUCUCUGGGCCACUACUGACGCUGAGAAGCGAAAGCAUGGGGAGCGAACAGG